rnacentral:rRNA from 1 species
UUAGUGGCGGACGGGUGAGUAACGCGUGGAUAACCUGCCGUAUACCGGGGGAGUAACACUUAGAAAUAGGUGCUAAUACCGCAUAAGCGCACGGCUCCGCAUGGGGCAGUGUGAAAAACUACCGGUGGUAUACGAUGGAUCCGCGUCUGAUUAGCUAGUUGGCGGGGUAACGGCCCACCAAGGCAGCGAUCAGUAGCCGGCCUGAGAGGGGUGGACGGCCACAUUGGGACUGAGACACGGCCCAAACUCCUACGGAAGGCAGCAG